rnacentral:tRNA from 1 species
GAUUUCAUCGUACAGUGGUUAGUACAACAGACUCAGGAUCUGUGGGUCGUAGGUUCGAUUCCUACUGAAAUCA